GAUGAACGCUGGCGGCGUGCCUAAUACAUGCAAGUCGAGCGAACAGAUGAGGAGCUUGCUCCUCUGACGUUAGCGGCGGACGGGUGAGUAACACGUGGAUAACCUACCUAUAAGACUGGGAUAACUUCGGGAAACCGGAGCUAAUACCGGAUAAUAUAUUGAACCGCAUGGUUCAAUAGUGAAAGACGGUUUUGCUGUCACUUAUAGAUGGAUCCGCGCCGCAUUAGCUAGUUGGUAAGGUAACGGCUUACCAAGGCAACGAUGCGUAGCCGACCUGAGAGAGUGAUCGGCCACACUGGAACUGAGACACGGUCCAGACUCCUACGGGAGGCAGCAGUAGGGAAUCUUCCGCAAUGGGCGAAAGCUUGACGGAGCAACGCCGCGUGAGUGAUGAAGGUCUUCGGAUCGUAAAACUCUGUUAUUAGGGAAGAACAAAUGUGUAAGUAACUAUGCACGUCUUGACGGUACCUAAUCAGAAAGCCACGGCUAACUACGUG
rnacentral:rRNA from 1 species